rnacentral:misc_RNA from 1 species
CAACAAAGAAGUUAAUUAUUGUUGGGUUCAGAGUAGGGAGUAGGGAGGAAAUGUAAGUUAAAACAAUAGAGUUAAAAUUUAAAUUAAAGCUUUCAAUUACACGUCAAAAUCUAAUAGAAAGUAUUAAUCUAAUAGCUCACAUAAUAUGAAGACACUCUAACAUUCGUGUCUUAACGUUGGAUAAUCCGGAUCCAUGACACAAUAGGUGCAACACAGCAAAUGCUAACACACUACUACAAAAAUGCUUUUCUAUGA